rnacentral:rRNA from 1 species
UACGUAGGGGGCAAGCGUUGUCCGGAAUCAUUGGGCGUAAAGCGCGUGUAGGCGGCCCGGUAAGUCCGCUGUGAAAGUCGGGGGCUCAACCCUCGAAUGCCGGUGGAUACUGUCGGGCUAGAGUGCGGGAGAGGCGAGUGGAAUUCCUGGUGUAGCGGUGAAAUGCGCAGAUAUCAGGAGGAACACCGAUGGCGAAGGCAGCUUGCUGGGACGGUACUGACGCUGAGACGCGAAAGCGUGGGGAGCAAACAGG